CAAUAGCGUAUAUUAAAGUUGUUGCAGUUAAAAAGCUCGUAGUUGGAUUUCUGGUGGGAGCGAUCGGUCUGGCGCUUAGCGCGAGUACUUGCAUCGUCUCCGGCCAUCCUUGGGGAGAGUCUGUCUGGCAUUAGGUUGGCGGGCAGAGGAUCCUCAUCGUUUACUGUGAAAAAAUUAGAGUGUUCAAAGCAGGCUUAUGCCGUUGAAUAUAUUAGCAUGGAAUAAUAAGAUAGGACUUUGGUACUAUUUUGUUGGUUUGCGCACCAAAGUAAUGAUUAAUAGGGACAGUUGGGGGUAUUCGUAUUCCGUUGUCAGAGGUGAAAUUCUUGGAUUUACGGAAGACGAACUACUGCGAAAGCAUUUACCAAGGAUGUUUUCAUUAA
rnacentral:rRNA from 1 species